rnacentral:rRNA from 1 species
UACGUAGGGCGCAAGCGUUGUCCGGAAUUAUUGGGCGUAAAGAGCUCGUAGGCGGCCUGUUGCGUCCGCUGUGAAAUCCCGGGGCUUAACCCCGGGCUUGCAGUGGAUACGGGCAGGCGUGGAGGCAGGCAGGGGAGAACGGAAUCCCGGUGUGAGCGGUGAAAUGCGCAGAGUAUCGGGAGGAACACCGGUGGCGAAGGCGGUUCUCUGGGCCUGUACUGACGCUGAGGAGCGAAAGCGUGGGGAGCGAACAGG